UUAAACAGGAUUUUAUUGCUGACACAGCGUAAAAUCAGUCCUAGAGAUCAGCCAUGCUUUGAUUACAAAUAUUUAAUAAGAUAUAUAUGUAAAUCCUUCAUGUGCUGUUUCACAGUAACUGAGCUUUUACUUAGGUGUGUGUAGCAGACUGACAGCGCCUGCAUCUCAUUACUGUGUCUACAAUGUAACGAGCCAAAGAAAUGUUGUUAAUAGAUGAUAAUAAUACUGUUUUUCUCUCUCUCUCUCUCUCUCACAGACAGUGUUGAGUUGGUGUUGGCGUCUUCUGCGAUCCCUGAGUCUGGGACUGCCAGUGUGCGGGCCAGACCCACAGUGAAACAUCACUUGUCCUCAUCUGACAGCUUUCAGGGGUUUGCCGUCCCCACACCCACAGUCCCUGUCCUACCCACUGUCAACGGUCCAAAGACCAACGGUUUAGUUAGUGGAGAUCGGUUGUCCAAUGGAUCUGUAAUAUCUGUGCCUGACCUUGUGGAAGGAGAAAUAUUUGUACCUCCUCCUCCUUCCAUGGCACCUCCACCUCCUCCAGCAAAUUUCAUCCCUCCUCCACCAGACUUUGUGGAUGUCCUAAACAGUCCAGACCUGGCAACCAUUCAGCCUCCCUCCAUGCCUGCACCCAAACUCACUUCAGCCACAGCAUCCAUUGAGGAAGAGGAUUUGUCCAUGUUAAAACCACCACCAAUGGCUCCACCAAGGCCUCCAUCUAGCUGUUCCUCUGGCUCUGCAUCAUCUAUGUGUAGUCCACCGCUUGACAAAGUUCCUGAACAUCCAAAAUUUGCCCCACCGCAGCCCCCUGCUGAAAAACAACACAAGACACAUAAGACACCACCACCUAAGCCCAUUAGAAUGUCUUCUGUCUCCAGCCUUGACUCCCCACCUCUGACACCUGCACCUCCUCCUCCUGUGCAGACAACCACAUUUUCCACCUUCAAUCCCCAAAACACAGCAAAGCUUUACACUGUUUCUAAGAGCCCACUCCUCAGUGGGUAUGAUGGUCGCGACAAAAGACCAAAGCAGAUGUUAUAUUUAGAGGACACUGGGUCUGUCAAUUCUGUCCCUGUGCUUGUUCAAGUGGAUGCGAAAGCCCCUAAAGUGACUACACCCUCUAAACCUGUUUCCAAAGAUGCACAGGAGCCAAAGGAGCACGUAUCCAUCACCAAACCACCUCAGAUACCCCUACCUGAGCCAAACAAAGAGGCUAAACCAGAAACAGUUUCAGCGAAGCCAGACAUAACCACACCAGUCCAGCCUCCACCUCAGAAGUCUCCACAGCCUCAGGCAGCCAGCAACACUCCAGUCAUUACAGAGCCCAGCAAGGACAAACUUAAGGGAUCUCCAAGUCCAAGCCAUAAAUUCAGUCCAUUAUUGGAUCAUAAACUACGCAACCUGAAGGGAAGUGAAAGCAGCGGAGCUCGAGAAGGACCUGCAGCAUCUCCACUGGCUCUUUUAUUGGCAGCUAAGGAAAGAGAGAAAAACAGAUCGAUUCACUCUCUGUCACGGGAGGGCAGCCGCAAGAAGAAUGAACAGUCAAGUACAAGCAUUCACCAGAGUGACUGGAGUCCAAAUUCUUUUAUUGUCAUCCCAAGGUCCACUUCCUCCUCUUCUCUCACAUCUACUGAAGAAAGACUACCGGAGACUUCCAAGUCUGUACUGAAAAGUCCAACCCCCGAAAAGCCCAGCAGUCCUGCACAAGUGAGGAUCCAGAUACCUUCUAACAGUCCGGCUUUCAGUCGGAGCACAGUGGCUGAAUCCCCAGUUGUGAGCAACCAGGUUGAGCAGGAACAAAACACAGAACAAAGUCCCUCACAGUCCCUGUCUGCACAGCUUGAGAAUAACAAAGAAGAUUUGAAUGUGCCACUUCUCCCUCCACCUCCAGAGUUUGGUGAUUUCGAUGAGAUCACAGAGCAACCCCCGUCCAUCCUCCCACCCGAUCCUCCUGUGAAAACGGCACCACCUCCAACCAUGAGCCGUGUCUCUCGUACUCCAGCACCACCUCCUCCUCCUCCAAAACCUACACCUCCACCUGCUCCAAAACUUCCACCGCCUGACAUAGACAUCAAACCAAAGCCUCCAGUCCAGACUAAACCAAAACCUGCCCCCACUUCACUGCCAUCCACCCUCUCACCCAGUCAGGCCACUCUACUGAGUAUCUUACAAAAGAAGAUGCUGGAAAUGGACCACAAAAUAGCCCCAGCGAGAGACACAGAGUCCAGCUCUGAUGACUGGGGCAACCCUUUGUCUGAUGAAGACAACAAGGUGCCUGUUGUACCUAGAGCCAAACCGCAGACCAAAGGUUUUCCUGUCGUCAACAAAACAGCAACCCUGGACAUGAGGGAGCUGGAGAGUAAAGUGGUGAAAAAGGCCACCUCAUCCAAUAACGUUCCCACCAGCAAUGGACAACAGUCAAAACAACAAUAUGGUAGGACUUUUACAGUUCGGCCUGGAACUAAACAGCCCAUUACUCUUGUUAGUAAAGAGGAGUCCUGAACAGCCUCUGAAACACGACAACAGUAUAUAACACACUUUGUAAAGUGACAUGGAAAAACAAAUCUGUCACACAGAUGUGUGACAGAUUAAAGCUACAGUGCAGAAUUAAACUAAUCAAAUACAAGCUCUUGCAAAACAGCUUCACACUGAGCCACUUAAGCUAACCAGUGGCAAUUAAACAAAUGUCUGUGUUGACAGAGCUUUGUGCAUCAUUUACCUGCAUUCAUAUGUACACUCAUUGCUACAAUAGGAAAGCAGCAGUUCUGCACUGUGGCUUUAAGACUCAUUACAAGGUCUUGUCAGUUAUAAAUAAACACAUUCUCACCUAUAAAUAGUAUUCUUCU
rnacentral:lncRNA from 1 species